rnacentral:sRNA from 1 species
CUCCUUUAUAGGCCAAGAGUGGCUUGAAGGGGGUGCAGAGCCUUCUAAUGUAUAAGGAUGGGGACUCUGUCCUGCAGAGGGGAGGCUCUCUGAGGGCCCCAGCCCUCACCAGCCGCUCAGACCGCCUGCAGCAACGCCUCCCAAUCACUCAGCACUUUGGAAAGAACCGGCCCCUUCGCCCCACCAGGAGACGCUGGCUGGAAGAGGGACCUUCUGAGCCUCCAGGGGCGGGGUAAGGCAAAAAGGGAAUAGCAGUGUUGAAAGUGGGAGGCCAGGACUGAUGGGGAGGAGGGUCCCCAAACUCCAGAGCAGCCUGACCAGGGCUGGGGGUCUUGGGCAAAUAUCUGAGGCUGCCCAUCCUCACCCAGGACACCCCCGCUGAGCCCUGAGGAUGAGGGGUGCCCGUGGGCAGAAGAAGCUCUGGACAGCAGCUUCUUGGGGUCUGGAGAAGAACUGGAUUUGUUGAGUGAGAUUCUGGACAGUCUUAGCGUGGGAGCCAAGAGCGCAGGCAGCCUGAGACCGAGCCAGAGUUUAGACUGCUGUCACAGAGGAGACCUGGACAGCUGCUUCAGCCUGGUGAGAGCCUCACCCACUUCCUCAACCCCGCCCCAAGUCUUCCCCUAAUGGUCCAUCCAACUUGCCAGCCCCUCUGCCAUCUAAAAGCCACAACUUCCCUAUCCAUCUCACCUAGCCCAACAUACCAAGAUGGCAACCAGACGAUAAGAAACUACCAGAGCCAGAGCCCCAGCCCCUGUCCCUGCCAUCCCUGCAAAACGCCUCAUCUUUGGAUGCCACCAGCUCUUCAAAGGACCCCAGGUCCCAACUGAUACCCUCAGAGUCCAACCAAGAAGUCACCUCUC